UCACUGCUCAAUCAAUGACCAAAGUUGAUGAUUGAGUCAUUUUGCAAGAUUCCAGGAUGUCAAGUGUACAAGAACAAACUAAUUAUAACGAUGUUAUGAGUAGUGACGGUGAGGAUGAUGAUGUUGAGAUGGAAAAGAAGAUAUGGAUGAAGACAAUGGGAUUAUUGGAGAAGAUGUAUUAGGAUUUGAACUUGGUGCAGUGGAGGAUAGGAC